GAAGGAUGGGCUCGCGUUGGAUUAGAUAGUUGGUGGGGUAACGGCCUACCAAGUCGACGAUCCAUAGCCGGACUGAGAGGUUGAACGGCCACAUUGGGACUGAGACACGGCCCAGACUCCUACGGGAGGCAGCAGUGGGGAAUAUUGCACAAUGGGGGAAACCCUGAUGCAGCAACGCCGCGUGAAGGAAGACGGUUUUCGGAUUGUAAACUUCUGUUCUUAGUGAAGAAUAAUGACGGUAGCUAAGGAGCAAGCCACGGCUAACUACGUGCCAGCAGCCGCGGUAAUACGUAGGUGGCAAGCGUUGUCCGGAAUUACUGGGUGUAAAGGGAGCGCAGGCGGGAAGCCAAGUCAGCUGUGAAAACUAUGGGCUUAACUUGUAGACUGCAGUUGAAACUGGUUUUCUUGAGUGAAGUAGAGGUUGGCGGAAUUCCGAGUGUAGCGGUGAAAUGCGUAGAUAUUCGGAGGAACACCGGUGGCGAAGGCGGCCAACUGGGCUUUAACUGACGCUGAGGCUCGAAAGUGUGGGGAGCAAACAGGAUUAGAUACCCUGGUAGUCCACACUGUAAACGAUGA
rnacentral:rRNA from 1 species